rnacentral:rRNA from 1 species
UACGUAGGGGCCGAGCGUUGUCCGGAGUUACUGGGCGUAAAGCGCGCGCAGGCGGCUCGUCAAGCCUGACGUGAAAGCCCCCGGCUCAACCGGGGAGGGUCGUCGGGGACUGGCGGGCUUGAGGUCGGCAGGGGUUGGUGGAAUUCCCGGUGUAGUGGUGAAAUGCGCAGAUAUCAGGAGGAACACCGAUGGCGAAGGCAGCUCGCUGGGACGGUACUGACGCUGAGGCGCGAAAGCGUGGGGAGCAAACAGG